AUAUCAAGACACCAAAAUUAUUUAUAGCUGGGCAUUAAAAAUAUCUGACAUUUUUCUCCCCGCAAAGAUACUUUUCUUAAGCUCACACUUUAAUUAUUUGUAGACUGCUGUUAAGCUAAAUAGCCCCAAAGGAAACUUUUAAUUCAUUUAGAGACUGUCAAGUUUCCAAUUGCAUUUUAACUAGAAAGCCACUUUCAAUAGCGUGAUUGUCACGACAGGCUAUGACGGGGAAAGGUCGCACAAUCUUGUGGGAUGAGGCCAGUGAAAUAGAAGCUUUCUCUACAUCAAAAACAGGGAAGCUGAAGGCUAAAUGACCCACUGUCUCACAAAAGGCACUGAGUACUAUGGUCUCAUAAAGUGUUUUUAAAACAUUUUGAUAACUUAUUUUAAAAAGAAAAAGAGGAAACUGUGGAUUAUGUGAGUUUUUGCAGCAAUCUAGUGAUUCCUUCCAGCAGGCCCCUGCUUCCCAGGUCUAUGAGCAACUACUGCUGGGCCAGGCCCUGGCUCUCAAGGGCCGAGUCUCAGUUUAAGGCCAGAUUAAGGGGGAAAAUUCGUCCGAGUAGACCUGGACGAGGAAAAUUUGGUAUCUGUAGCUUUUAAGGGCACACAUAUCCAUAUUAAAAUGCAAUUCUUAUCUGAAAAUUUAAAAUCAUAACUUAUAGAAAGGAGUUAAAGUCAUUUACAUGCUUACAGUUAGAGAAGUAACUUGAGAUCUGUAGCUUAUAUGCCGCAGAAGUUAGCCAUCAACAUCCAUGCUUAGUUUUAAAGAAUAAUACUUGGUAGGUUGUUUAUUUUUAACUGGCGAUAGAAAGAUGGGAAUUACUAUUUAUUCAGUCAUAGGACAGUGCCCCACAUCUUGCUGACUGAGCACAGCGCAAGCCUGGGAAAUUGCUACCAUCUUUGGGAGUCAGGCCUCACUGACACAGACCGUUCUGAAUCUCUGACCGUGACGCCUGUCUCUGGGCUACUCAACAGAGCUGAAUAGCUGGGAAGGCUGAUGGCUCAACCCAACUGCCAAGUUCCUUCCAGAGUGGAGAUUCUGACUUCAUGGCCCUUCCCAGGCAGGCUCACCCAAAGGAAAAUGGAGUGAAGAAAAUCACCAGCAAAUCUUCCCUGCCGAGGGACCUUGGAACACCCAUAUCAGUUUACAUUAGCAACUUUAUGAAAAACUCUCUUUAAAGGAAAGUUUGGAUACAUGUCUGUAUACAUAAUAUACAUCUAUGUACACAUACACACACUAUAUACACUGUACAUAUGGAGAGGAUAUAAACACAUGUACAUUCAUUCAGUCUUACAGCCUAGAAACCUGUACACGCACAAUGCUGCUGAAGGGACCCAGGGCUGGACAUACGAAGUGCACGCUGGUGGGAGGCACACAAUGAGAAGGUCCAGACCCUGUGUACAAAAGACCCAAACCAACCCUGUCUUGAUGAGGGGUUGGCUUUAAAAAUUUACAUCAAAGUUAAGACAUUUUCAAAGAGCCUCAUAACUGAGAGAAUGGAAGCUGGAUAAAGGAAGCACGUGGGGCAUCUGCUCUGCUGGCUCAGGCAUUCCCAGGGCCCAGUGGGCACCGCCUUCCCUGGGAGAAAAGUGGCUGUCAGAUGAUGAGACUUCCUAUGACCUGGACUAAGAAAAGAGUUAAAAUGUUACCUAUGACCCCAUUGCACAUAAAGUCAUUUACACUGGAAAGUGGGCAACAAGCUUCUGGACUCCAAUGAGAUCAGGUCCCAGAACAUGGAUGUACACAUGUGGCAUGAACUGCUGAUUGCGGCCAGGGGCUGGAAGCCCUGCAGAGGGCGGGCUGUGAGCAAGAGUGCUCUGCAGGAAAUGUCCUCAAAGGACUAUGAAAGUAAAAGCACUAGAAACAGCUAGAGUCCUUAGAAUUUUUUGCUCCUUGCCGUAACUAUCCCCCAAACAAGUAAGACAGCUAAUAAGUAUGUGUGUAGCGUGGAUAUUGCCUUGAGAUUAAGGAGCCUAACGCAUCCACUGUUAACACCAUGGCUGGUGUCCUAACUGCCUCAGAAGAGUCCACAUUCAAUACUGACAAUGACAAGCUAAAAAUCAGUCCCUCUUGAGGGCAAUUACACAUCUUAGAAGUGACUACACCUGAAAUUAAAUAUAAAGCCCAGAACAGCAAAAGAACCUCAAACCACAGCCUUAUGGCAAGGGUUAGACAAUAAAUGUAACUCCUCAGGACACAGAAAUGUCAAAUUAGGAGAGUAUGGUAGGUAACACACUUCCUUAAAAACACCUUCCAGGAGUAACUUGAAAAGUAUUACUUGCUCAACUAAUUUGGUCUUUCAAAAAAUCUCUUCCUGUCCUGUUUUAUGCUAAUGUGUAAUGAUCUCCACCAUUUUCAACAUCUAUCUGUCUUAACCCAACAUUAUCUGAGAUACUUCUGGAAAAGAGCUCACUUAACUGAUGACAGCAUGUGUCUGUCCCACCUCUCUGAGCCAGCUGCCUCUCCUCAUUGAGGGAGGAGCAGCCAGGCCAGUAGAAGAGGGAGCAUGAACGUGGCUCCAUGGAGUUCAGUAGCCAGAGGACAGGUCUCACUUCAUGAAACCCAAAGUUUCACAAACUGCUAAUAAGGGCUAUAAGCCCUGUGAAAGUUGGAGCCCAAAUAUUUGGUUUGCAUCUCUUUAAGUAAUUCUUGACUUUGGGCUGACUUUACUUAACCAACCUGACAGGAGAUGAAAUGGACCUGCAGUCAGAGGCUUGAAAUGAGUUAAAGCAGCAAGAAUACAGGUUACGUGGACAUGAUCCUUAAAGAAAAGGCCACUUCAAAGUAAGGCCAAGAGGAUCUCAGAAACCAACCAAGAGGUGUUCAAAGCCCAAAACAGUCCCUGGAAUCAGCCAUCACCAGCAAGGGGACUUAAAGAGCAGGACCAGGUUAGAAUCAGCACCUUUCCAAGCAAAAUCACGUUUUCUGCAAGGUUGUUUCACCACAGCCCAACACUUCCUUAUCCAGCCUGAGUCUAAGCAGCCUACUGGCUGCCACUGAAUGACCUGGGAAUGAGAGGAGGGGCUGGUGGAGACCUUUUCACCAACACCAAGAACUGGGAUCUGAAAGCUGUUAUGCUUGUAUUCCCAGGGAACUGCAACAUGGCCCUCAUGGUCACUCUCAAGGAUCAAAACGACGGAAGGCAGGCAACAAUCUGUGUUAGAGGCACCACUGAGCUGCAGGAUGCCUGCUACUAAAAGCCUUCACAAGCAGAAAUGAAACAAACCUGCCCUAAUUCCAUUGUCUCAGCUGGUUUUUUGUCUUAAUUUUGAAACUGAAAACACAUCAGGGUUAGAAAAGUAAAAAUUACUUUAAGCUGGCAAAAUUAAAUCCUUUCCAUCAUUUUAUAAUGGCCACUCCCACUACUCUCCAAAAUUUGCUGCCAAGGCAAGAAUUAUAAAAUGAUAUAAUUAAAUCCAAACAAGAAUUUAGAAGUUGGAAACACUGUUCCCACUUACCCUACUAACACUGACUUGCGUAAAGUGCUGCUAACCCUUCAGGAUCAAGCAUCCUGUUCUGCCUUGAGCCUGCAGCAGCUUCCAUUCUGUCCAAUGUGGCACCACAGGGGCGUCUGUAGCUGGCCAGACUGCACCCCUGUGGAGCACAUGUGGCGCCAGCCUGAGCCAGAUCAGAGCACCUGUGAGUCAGGGGAGUGUCCAGGGAUCUUUUUGGAUAUCAUCUGAUUAACAAAUCAAGAGAGGCAAAUUUAACCCAACAGGGUGUAUUUUCUUAAUCUGGACUAUUUAAAAAGCAAAAGACAAAGCAAUUGACCGGGUCUUCCACAUGCCACUGUUCUCAAACAGGAAAAGCUUGCUAUAUAUUCACAUCCGUGGGAAUUUACGGGUGUUUGAAGUUAGACAUAACUUCCUUUUAAGCGCAUACUGUUCUUGCUGUAAACUCUGGUUGCUACAAUUUAUGAGGAGAAAGACUAUCACCCUGGAAAUUGAGGGUUGUUUUUAAGGAGCAAGCAGCCUGCAUUUAAAAUGCUCCGGGGUGGUCGGCUGGCACACACCUGGGGGAACCAAAGUGCACAGUGUGCUGGUAACAUUAACAGACUUGCCAACAGAGAUGCUGAGUCUAUACACAUUUUUAAAAUCUCUGGUAUUUAAGGUCAACAGGAAGAAAUUGUCCUGAAACCUUCCAUCCAGCUUUACCAGGCCCUAACCACUCUCGCCAGGCGGCAGCAGGCUCCUGCCCAGCCCCAAUCCAGCCUCACAGUUAUGAUGGAGCUGCAGAAACACGAGCCCUUUUCAAGGGGGCAUUUGGAGUGGAAAGCCCUGGGAAGGUAACGCUCACACUCCAAGGCCACACUCCUCCAUCUGGACAAACACACAAGCACCCCCAAUUGUAUUGGAAGUACUGUCAAGAGCUCAAAAUGCCCACCUUGCACUUUUUGGUCACAAGGCUCCAUCUGCCACGAGCGGCGGAUGUGACUUGGGGAUGUUUUCACUUGCUGGAGGAACUGUACAUCUCAUUUGGCAGUUAAUGUCUGACUAGUUGCAAUCCAAUUCAGAUAACCAGUCAUCAAAGGAGAACCCCAGGUUCUAGAGGAGUCUGCAGAUGCCCAUCAGAGACCAGGACCAAGUAGUCAGGGAACCUGACAAGUGUCUGCUCUAUGGCUAGAAGCUUCUGAACUGGGUCACCACCGACUGUGCUACCACACUCCCACUUACUGCAUGAUGCAAAUGAGCCACGUUUCCAUUCACAGAAUUCAGCUCAACUCCACAACAUGUGCACACAAUUAGGAAUGAUGCCUUCUUUUCUUAAACAUAAAUGAUUGUCUCCUGUACCCUAGUGAGUUUUCACAGAAAUCAUUAGCAUUUCGGCAAAAGACAUACACAGUUUUCCAUUUGCCCUGCCCACAGGCAAGAUGUUGCUAACGUUACACAUUGAUAAGUGCUUAGAAAGUGCUAAUAUUAUUACCCUGGUAAUUAGUAUCUAUA
rnacentral:lncRNA from 1 species